rnacentral:lncRNA from 1 species
AACACUUAAUUUCAAAAUCCAAGGAUUUCAGUCUGUAGAUAAGACUUUUUUCUCUCAUUCAAGUCCAAAAACUUGCAAUUCCAUUGCGAAUCGACGAAGAAAGUACUGUAUCCGACCAGCCGGAUAACAAGCUUUUUCAAUCAGUCGGUCAUUUAAAAUUAAUUGCCCGCCACAACAAAGGUUUGUUGACAUUUUAGGUUAUGUGUCUGGUCCCGGUCUUUAUCAUGGUCAAAAGCUAAUAAGCUCGCACAGUGAAUUUAAAAUUUAUUGCAAUCAUUUUGAUCGUGUCGUAUGAACUAAAAGAAGGAACAAGUGUGCUAGUAUUCUGUGUUUAUUGUGAUAAUUUUUAUUUUGCCUUCAAUUUAUCUUCUGGCGAAUCGUUCAGUGCUGUACCAAAAUUGGCUCUUGCUGGGUUGCGGAGCUCCCUUUCAUCAAGGUCCCACAUUUUACCUUAACACUGGUUACUGGUGUCUAUACCUUGCCGGACACACCAAUCAUAUUUGCUGUAUCUCACUCCAGAUGGAACGCUCCUGAACACUUUUAAAACGAAAGGCUACUCCUUGCAAUACCUUCUCUCUAAAUCUGACAGUGUGAUGAUAGAUGAUUUCGCCGCUUCUUUUGUGAAGCAGUCAGAUGCACACUCUCCGUCAUAGCGAAACAAAAGUCUAUCAUUGGAUUCGUGCGACAAGCUAUGCGACAAGCUCUGAUUAAAUGCCUGCUAUAUUUGAAAGAAAGUCUGGAAAGGUACUCCUCUGCGCCAAAAGGAGCCUACUUCAUUUGGAUAUUAUUACCCUGCUUAUAGAAAUAAAACAAGGGAUUGUCGAUCAAUAAAAAUAAAUUAGUGAAUAAAUCAUUGAAAUGAAACGAAUCCACUUCUAAAAGUCCCUUUUUUUGAGCCGUAAUAAAAUUGUUUUUUACUCAUCAGCCAGCAAGACUGCAUUUUGUAUCCAUCUCCAUCCCUUAAAACUGGAAGUAGGUAUCCUUUUCCUUCUAAGGUAUAGAAUUAUAUCAGUAAAAGUAGUGCUAAGUUUUUAUUUAAUAAUAUAAAUAAAAUUAUUUUCUUCUACUUUAAUUGAGUUGUAUGUACCUAUAAUCGUUUCAAAGUUUAACUUCUUUUUUUUACGUGGUUUGGUCUUCCUAAUUUACUCCUCACUCGAGCUGAUUUUGCAAUGCAAGCAUAGAUGUCAGAGAAAAGAGGCUCCGAGUUUGGUGAAAGUAAUACUAGCUAUUUGUAAGUCCUUAGACUCAGAAAUAAAAGAAUGAUUGUUUCUCAAUUUGAGUGAGUUUGUUUUUUCCCUCCCUCCCUUAAAAUAGCCUGUGCCAUGGUAAUGGCAACCCAUCUCUUAUGGACUUUGACACUUUAGCUCAGUGACUUAGAGGGCAAGUGGAAUAAGAGUAGUUUUUGUUAUUUCAAGAAAUGUAUGUUUAAAGUUUCAAAAUCACGCAGAGCUCUAUUGAGGAAAGAAAGUUCAAACUUUGCUAGUUCAAACAAAGAUGCUAAAAAAUUGGAUUUUACUUAGUAGUGAAUUUUUCGUAUAAUAUAUUUUAAGACUAGUUUUAUGUGAAAUCAUUAAUAUCUCAAUUUUUUCAAGAACUGCACUUAUCCCACUUUUCUUCCAAGCCUCUCUACUUAAGUACCUAAUUUAUACUCACUUGUCUAAGUUCAUAUCAAAAUUUUGGAGAAAAUCAUUCCUCCCUUGCCAGGUUCUGCAUAAUUUUGGCUUUCAGCAGCUGAA